rnacentral:rRNA from 1 species
UCUGUCCUACGGGAGGCAGCAGUGAGGAAUAUUGGUCGAUGGGCGGUAGCCUGAACCAGCCACGUAGCGUGAAGGAUGAAGGUUCUAUGGAUUGUAAACUUCUUUUAUAAAGGAAUAAAGUGAGGCACGUGUGCCUUUUUGUAUGUACUUUAUGAAUAAGGAUCGGCUAACUCCGUGCCAGCAGCCGCGGUAGUACGUAGGAUCCGAGCGUUAUCCGGAUUUAUUGGGUUUAAAGGGAGCGUAGAUGGGUUGUUAAGUCAGUUGUGAAAGUUUGCGGCUCAACCGUAAAAUUGCAAUUGAUACUG